AAGACUAUACUUUCAGGAAUCAUUUCUAUAGUUUUUAGCUUGGAAAUGUGUUUCAAAAGAUUUGUCUUCCUAUCCACGAUGAUGAGUUUUGAUGCUCUUUUCUUAGCGGGAAUCAGGUUUUGAGCGAUGAUUUUGAUCAUAGUUCUUUGCUGUUGAUGAGUAUUCUGUAUUGUUUUUCAACCCAGUCUCACGGCAGUUCGUGACACUGUCACGA